rnacentral:rRNA from 1 species
UAGGGAAUCUUCCGCAAUGGACGCAAGUCUGACGGAGCAACGCCGCGUGAGUGAAGAAGGAUUUCGGUUCGUAAAACUCUGUUGUUAGAGAAGAACAGCGCAUAGAGUAACUGUUAUGCGUGUGACGGUAUCUAACCAGAAAGCCACGGCUAACUACGUGCCAGCAGCCGCGGUAAUACGUAGGUGGCAAGCGUUGUCCGGAUUUAUUGGGCGUAAAGCGAGCGCAGGCGGUCAAUUAAGUCUGAUGUGAAAGCCCCCGGCUCAACCGGGGAGGGUCAUUGGAAACUGGUUGACUUGAGUGCAGAAGAGGGGAGUGGAGUUCCAUGUGUAGCGGUGAAAGGCGUGGAUAUAUGGAGGAUCACCAGUGGCGAAGGCGACUCUCUGGUCUGUACCUGACGCUGAGGCUCGAAAGCGUGGGUAGCGAACAGG